rnacentral:rRNA from 1 species
GGCUUAAAUAGUUUGGGGGGACGAUAAGACCCUAUAAAAUUUUACAAAAUUGGGAUUUUUUUUUUGAAUUAAGGUUUAAAUUUUAUGAGUUCCUGUUUGUUUUGUUGGGGCGGCAAAGAUAAAAAUUAGUAACUGUCAUUUAAUUAGAAUAAUUAUAAUUAGUUUAAUUGAUCCUUUAUUAGAGAUUAAAAGAUUAAGUUACUUUAGGGAUAACAGCGUAAUUUU